rnacentral:rRNA from 1 species
GUUUGAUCCUGGCUCAGAACGAACGUUAGCGGCGCGCUUAACACAUGCAAGUCGUGCGAGAAAGGGGCAACCCCGGUAAAGCGGCGCACGGGUGAGUAACACGUAGGUAAUCUACCUCCAGGUGGUGGAUAACCUUCCGAAAGGAGGGCUAAUACAGCAUGAGACCACGAUUUCGAAAGAGAUUGAGGUCAAAGUCGGCCUCUUCAUGAAAGCUGACGCCAGGAGAUGAGCCUGCGGCCCAUCACGGUAGUUGGUAGGGUAAUGGCCUACCAAGCCAAAGACGGGUAGCUGGUCUGAGAGGAUGAUCAGCCACACUGGAACUGAGACACGGUCCAGACUCCUACGGGAGGCAGCAGUGGGGAAUCUUGCGCAAUGGGCGAAAGCCUGACGCAGCGACGCCGCGUGAGUGAUGAAGGCCUCGG